UGGGGAAUAUUGCACAAUGGGCGCAAGCCUGAUGCAGCCAUGCCGCGUGUAUGAAGAAGGCCUUCGGGUUGUAAAGUACUUUCAGCGGGGAGGAAGGUGUUGUGGUUAAUAACCACAGCAAUUGACGUUACCCGCAGAAGAAGCACCGGCUAACUCCGUGCCAGCAGCCGCGGUAAUACGGAGGGUGCAAGCGUUAAUCGGAAUUACUGGGCGUAAAGCGCACGCAGGCGGUCUGUCAAGUCGGAUGUGAAAUCCCCGGGCUCAACCUGGGAACUGCAUCCGAAACUGGCAGGCUUGAGUCUCGUAGAGGGGGGUAGAAUUCCAGGUGUAGCGGUGAAAUGCGUAGAGAUCUGGAGGAAUACCGGUGGCGAAGGCGGCCCCCUGGACAAAGACUGACGCUCAGGUGCGAAAGCGUGGGGAGCAAACA
rnacentral:rRNA from 1 species